GGAGAACUGGCUUUGGGGCAGUGAAAAGAUAGCAUCUAUGGGGCCAGCAUGUAUGGUGUGGGGAGCAGAUCUGGAAAUAUUGCGGAUGUGGAAGAGUUGAGAGAACUGGUCAUAUUUAGCCUAGAGAAGAAGCUUGGAGAAUGGGAGGAUGAUGAUUAGCUUCAAAUAUUAGGUAGACACUCAUGAGAAAAGAUAUCAGAUGUAUUCUGCACUGCUCUAGUCUAGAGCUUGCUAUUCUAAGUGUGGUCCAUGGACUAGCAGCAUCAAUAUCCCGUGGGCACUUAGAAAUACAAAAUUUUAGGUCCCUCCCAGAUGUAGUGAACUCAUCCUUCACAGGAUCCCCAGGUGACUUGUGCCCACAUUAAGUUUGAGAAGUGCAGAUCUGGAGCACCGCCACUCAAGUCAUGGUCCGGGGACAAGUGCUCAUCUCCUGAACUGUUUGUUAAUGAUCUUCCAUGGGAAAACACCCCUGAUUCUUUAACUUACUCCCACC
rnacentral:lncRNA from 10 species